rnacentral:rRNA from 1 species
AUACGAAAGGUGCAAGCGUUGUUCGGAUUUACUGGGCGUAAAGAGAGUGUAGGUGGUUUAUUAAGUCGGAUGUGAAAUCCCGGGGCUCAACCUCGGAACUGCAUCCGAUACUGCCACGCUAGAGGACCGGAGAGGAGACUGGAAUUCUCGGUGUAGCAGUGAAAUGCGUAGAGAUCGAGAGGAACACUCGUGGCGAAGGCGAGUCUCUGGACGGUUCCUGACGCUGAGGCACGAAGGCCAGGGUAGCGAAAGGGAUUAGAAACCCCGGUAGUCC